rnacentral:misc_RNA from 1 species
UCGGGCUCCUGCACUUUUGGUGCGGCCAACCGAACAUAGGGCUGUCUCUUCACUCUCCCUCCCGUCAUUGAACAUGUCGUGGUCGGGAUGCUUCCGUUCGGUUGCCUGUGCGGUUCUACCCUCUUUUGGGUAGCGAAGUCGUCCCUCGAUGGAGAUGACAUUUUUGUGUCGUUUGGGCGGCCGAAAUGUUGGCGAAAUCCCUGUGUUGUUGCGUGGUCGAAUGCCGCGUUGCUAUCACUUGGAUUUUUGCCGGCUCUCACGGAUGCGGUGCCUAGUGCUAGCUCUGCGGGACGUUGCCCCGCAGACCUCGGGAGGUCCCCUGUACGGACCAUUGCUCUCAUACGCCGUCUGUCGUGUCGCCACCGCGACACGCAGAUCGUGUUCUUUCGUGCAGUCCGUGACAGCACGUCAGCGAACAUUAGUGUCCGGAGCGUGGUCUUGUGCCGGUGGAGUGCCUCUCCGAUCGUAUGAGCGGCGAUUUCCGGUUCGCGUCGCGCGAAGGCCCGCCCGUCCGGGUCGGUGCCGGAGCGGAUGCGCCGGCU